UACGUAGGGUGCGAGCGUUGUCCGGAUUUAUUGGGCGUAAAGGGUGCGUAGGCGGCCUGACAAGUCUGAUGUGAAAUCCCUGGGCUCAACCCAGGGCCUGCAUCGGAAACUGUCGGGCUUGAGUAUGGGAGAGGUGAGUGGAAUUUCCGGUGUAGCGGUGAAAUGCGUAGAUAUCGGAAGGAACACCUGUGGCGAAAGCGGCUCACUGGACCAUUACUGACGCUGAGGCACGAAAGCUAGGGAGCAAACAGGAGUUAGA
rnacentral:rRNA from 1 species